rnacentral:rRNA from 1 species
GCUCGAGUGGCGAACGGGUGAGUAACACGUGAGUAACCUGCCCUUGACUUCGGGAUAACUUCAGGAAACUGGGGCUAAUACCGGAUAGGAGCUCCUGCUGCAUGGUGGGGGUUGGAAAGUUUCGGCGGUUGGGGAUGGACUCGCGGCCUAUCAGCUUGUUGGUGGGGUAAUGGCCUACCAAGGCGGCGACGGGUAGCCGGCCUGAGAGGGUGGACGGCCACAUUGGGACUGAGAUACGGCCCAG